AAAUUUUUAUUAUUAUUAUUAUUAUUAUUAUUAUUAUUAUUAUUAUUAUUAUUAUUAUUAUUAUUAUUAUUAUUAUUACUAUUAAUAUUGUUAUUAUUAUUAUUAUCAUUAUUAUUAUUAUUUGUUUGAUUCAGACAACUAAGUGACUUAACUAAAAUAAGUAACAAAUGGACUAAGUCCAUAGUUAAGACAAGCGUAAUCAAUUAAUAAUUCUGUUUUAUAUACAUAUUGUAUUUUAUAUAUAUAAUAAUUUGUAUACAUAUUGAUAUUUAUCUAAAGGAGGCAAGCCUAAUUCCAUAAACAUUUAUAACACUUAAGUACUUGUUGCAAAAAACAUUUUAGUACAUUUCUUAUAACAAGAUUGUAGGUUUACAACAUAAUAUUUACAUUACAUAAAAUUAGACCAUAAGCUCUAUGAAAUAUAAAGCCACAUCAUACAAAAAAAAGCAGUACAUCUUAAAUUAUCUGAUAAGAAUAUUUGUAUGCGUAAAUAGACAUUUUAUCUCAAGGAAAAAUGUUUGAUUUAAUUAUUUUAUUAAUUUUCUUUUUAAUUUUUCGUACCAAUCAUUGUUAAUAUCAAAUCUAAAUGUCAAGAACAAACAAAUAACUCUUAAACUAGUCACAUUUUUGAAGUUUCUCACUUCAGAAACGGUUUUAGCAUUUAACUUUAAAUUUAAAAAAUAUUUUUUUGAGUCAUUCAGAACAUAAAUCAACUAAAUGGUGCAAAAACUGCUUCUUUCUGUAUAAACUGUUGAGGUACAAACCAGGGUUGCAAAAAAACGUUUUUUUUGAAAAAACCAAAAAUCAUAGGAUUUUUUUUUUUUUUUAAAAAAAAAAAAAAACAUGGUUUUUUUGGUUUAAAUUAGGUUUUUACUGUAAAAUGUGGUAUUUAUUUAUCCUUUUAAAUUAAAAAAACAAAACGUAUUUUAUUUGAGUAAACUAUAUUUUUUAUCAAUAUUAUUUUUAUAUUUCAUCAAAAUUAUUUAAUAUAUCAUUGUUUAAUAUUAUAUAUAUAAAUACAAGCUUUGCUGCUUUUUCUACCCCCAAUCAGUUUCUUAACUUAAAAUGAACAAGACCAAAAGUUGAAAAAAUUCUUUUGAUUCCAGCACUAGAAGCUGAUGCAUUUAAUAAACUUUCAAAAUCCAUUAUGUUAUAGUAGAUUUGGCUUUUAAUUUUUAUAAUAUUGGUAACAAAUUCUUGAACUCUUUAUCUGCGAAAUUCAUUGCAGCUUCAUUUUCAUUUUCAGAAAGAUUAGAUCCAAAAUAUCUAGGAUCUAGUGUGUUUGCCAGGAAAUGAGCAUCACUGACAGUCUGAAGAAUUGUUUUGCUGUUUCGAUUUCAAAACUUGAUUUGAAUUUUAUAGUGUUUUGUUUUCUCUGUCAAGCAAAAUAUAUUGUUUAAAAUAUUUUUGUUUUUUUAUAAGUGCAGCAUAUUGUUUUAUACAAGUAUAAUAUUUUUUACGCAAUUGUAAUAUUUUUUACGCAAUUGUAAUAUUUUUUACGCAAUUGUAAUAUUUUUUACGCAAUUGUAUUAUUUUUUACGCAAUUGUAAUAUUUUUUACGCAAUUGUAAUAUUUUUUUACGCAAUUGUAAUAUAUCGCCCAUAAACCUA